rnacentral:rRNA from 1 species
CGCGUAGGCGGCCGAUCAAGUCGGAGGUGAAAUCCCUCGGCUCAACUGAGGAAUUGCCUUCGAUACUGUUCGGCUUGAGUCCUGGAGAGGGUAGCGGAAUUCCCGGUGUAGCGGUGAAAUGCGUAGAGACCGGGAAGAACACCAGUGGCGAAGGCGGCUACCUGGACAGGUACUGACGCUGAAGCGCGAAAGCUAGGGGAAGCAAACA